GCUUCUCCUCAACUCUCUCUGGAAGGUGCAGAAAGCAAGGACCAAGUGUUUCAGCCUUCCACAGUGGCAUCUUCAGAGGGAGCUGUGGUGGAAAUCUUCUGUAAUCACUCUGUGUCCAAUGCUUACAACUUCUUCUGGUACCUUCACUUCCCGGGAUGUGCACCAAGACUCCUUGUUAAAGGCUCAAAGCCUUCUCAGCAGGGACGAUACAACAUGACCUAUGAACGGUUCUCUUCAUCGCUGCUCAUCCUCCAGGUGCGGGAGGCAGAUGCUGCUGUUUACUACUGUGCU
rnacentral:lncRNA from 1 species